UAUAAUAUUAUAAAUGCGAAAGUGUUUCUGUCUGUCUGCUAAGUUUUCACUGCCCAUCCGGUCAUACUAUUUUGAUAAAAUCGGUACAGAGAUAGCUUGCAUCCCGGGAAAGGACAUAGGCUACUUUUAUCCCUGAAAAACAAAACAGUUUCCACGGGAUUUUAAAACCUAAAUCCACGAGGGUGAAAUUGCGGGAAU